rnacentral:lncRNA from 1 species
UUAAAUCACAUACAAGUUACAACAAAACAUACCGAAAAUGACUUGUGUGGUUGCAAGGUAAAAAAGCCGCUUGACCACAUUUGUUUUUCCAGAAAAAGGUGGUACAAACAAGUGGUUUUUUUUUUUUAACGAUGAACUAAUAAUCCUCUAAAUGGGGUACUGUCGAAAUUCACCACAUCGGGAUACACUCACCUCCGAACUGGAGAAAACCCUCACCUAGGGCUGAAGCGCGUGAACACUCGCCCGAAGGCACGACAGUGCGGUGAGGUAAAACCCGCUCAGUUCAAGGAUUGAACUAGCGAUAUCCGCCUACUCACCUAGUCUCCCAUCAUCAUUAGGUGCCACAAAAAAUAAUAAGGAGAGCAAGAAUUAAACUUGGGUCCUUUAGAACACCAAGUACAACCCACAAAGAUUCAAGCGUCGUGGCACAUUUGAAGCAGGCACGACCAUUACUAGCACCAGACGCGCAAAAACCUUAAAAUCAGAUUAUUUUAAGAUAUGACGUUUGUUUUUGCGAUGUGUCAACCGGAGACAACAACCAGACGGCUAAAGGUCAUAUACAAUAAUCAAUCAAUCUUAGUUAUCUUUGGAUUGAUGUAGUUACAUCAAUCACUUUUUGGCUUCAAUCCCAACAGGUAACUGAUGUGUUGGUUUUGCAAGUUAAACAGGUGUUAAACGAGGCCUACUGGCCUAGAAUGAAGUACAUAAGUAUACGAAGAGGUUGGAGGGCUUAAAACAAGUGAUUCCCUCCGCGACGCGUGGGUGGGAGAAAAAACGGCCGCCUCUUGAUGUUGUUUCGCGCCACACGGGGGCGACGCACGUGAGCGGGGAAAUGGCCCCUUUUGAUAUGUAAAUUUUCAUACUUAUCAUCCAUUUUUCAAAUUAGCCAUCUAUUUAAGUAUAUGUAUAUCUUCAUACUUGGUG